CCGGACUAGACGGAAGGUCUAUACAUGCAAGUCGAACGGGAUUGGAGAGCUUGCUUUCCAUGAGAGUGGCGUACGGGUGCGUAACGCGUAUGCAACCUACCUUCAUCAGGGGGAUAGCCCGAAGAAAUUCGGAUUAACACCGCAUAACAUUAUUGGAUGGCAUCAUUUAAUAAUCAAAUAUUUAUAGGAUGAAGAUGGGCAUGCGUGUCAUUAGCUAGUUGGCGAGGUAACGGCUCACCAAGGUGACGAUGACUAGGGGAUCUGAGAGGAUGACCCCCCACACUGGUACUGAGACACGGACCAGACUCCUACGGGAGGCAGCAGUAAGGAAUAUUGGUCAAUGGAGGCAACUCUGAACCAGCCAUGCCGCGUGCAGGAAGACUGCCUUAUGGGUUGUAAACUGCUUUUAUACGGGAAUAAACCUUGAUUCGUGAAUCGAGCUGAAUGUACCGUAAGAAUAAGGAUCGGCUAACUCCGUGCCAGCAGCCGCGGUAAUACGGAGGAUCCAAGCGUUAUCCGGAUUUAUUGGGUUUAAAGGGAGCGUAGGCGGCCUAUUAAGUCAGGGGUGAAAGACGGUGGCUCAACCAUCGCAGUGCCUUUGAUACUGGUAGGCUUGAAUGUAGUUGAGGUAGGCGGAAUGUGACAAGUAGCGGUGAAAUGCAUAGAUAUGUCACAGAACACCGAUUGCGAAGGCAGCUUACUAAGCUAUGAUUGACGCUGAGGCUCGAAAGCGUGGGGAUCAAACAGGAUUAGAUACCCUGGUAGUCCACGCCCUAAACGAUGAUAACUCGAUGUUGGCGAUAUACAGUCAGCGUCCAAGCGAAAGCGUUAAGUUAUCCACCUGGGGAGUACGCCCGCAAGGGUGAAACUCAAAGGAAUUGACGGGGGCCCGCACAAGCGGAGGAGCAUGUGGUUUAAUUCGAUGCAACGCGAAAAACCUUACCUACCUUUGACAUGUACGGAAUUCGCCAGAGAUGGCUUAGUGCUCGAAGAG
rnacentral:rRNA from 1 species